rnacentral:rRNA from 1 species
UGGCAGUCUUUGGCUGUCCGAGUUGUAGUCUAGAGAAGUGUUUUCCGCGCUGGACCGUGUACAAGUCUCUUGGAACAGAGCGUCAUAGAGGGUGAGAAUCCCGUCUUUGACACGGACUACCAGUGCUUUGUGAUGCGCUCUCAAAGAGUCGAGUUGUUUGGGAAUGCAGCUCAAAAUGGGUGGUAAAUUCCAUCUAAAGCUAAAUAUUGGCGAGAGACCGAUAGCGAACAAGUACCGUGAGGGAAAGAUGAAAAGCACUUUGGAAAGAGAGUUAAACAGUACGUGAAAUUGCUGAAAGGGAAACGCUUGAAGUCAGUCGCGUUAGCUAGAACUCAGCCUUGCUUUUGCUUGGUGCAUUUUCUAGUUGACGGGCCAGCAUCAGUUUUGAUUGCAGGAUAAAGGUCAGGGGAAUGUGGCACCUUCGGGUGUGUUAUAGCCCUUGAUUGUAUACUGUGGUUGGGACUGAGGAUCUCAGCACGCCUUUAUGGCCGGGGUUCGCGCCCACGUUCGUGCUUAGGAUGCUGGCGUAAUGGCUUUAAACGACCCGUCUUGAAACACGGACCAAGGAGUCUAACAUACCUGCAAGUGUUUGGGUGGUAAACCCGAGCGCGUAAUGAAAGUGAAAGUUGGGAUCUCUGUCGUGGAGAGCACCGACGCCCGGACCAGACCUUCUGUGACGGCUCCGCGGUAGAGCAUGUAUGCUGGGACCCGAAAGAUGGUGAACUAUGCCUGAAUAGGGUGAAGCCAGAGGAAACUCUGGUGGAGGCUCGUAGCGAUUCUGACGUGCAAAUCGAUCGUCGAAUUUGGG